rnacentral:rRNA from 1 species
UACGGAGGGAGCUAGCGUUGUUCGGAAUUACUGGGCGUAAAGAGCGCGUAGGCGGCUAACUAAGUUGGGAGUGAAAUCCCAGGGCUUAACCCUGGAAUUGCUUUCAAAACUGGCUAGCUAGAGAACGAUAGAGGAUGGUGGAAUUCCUAGUGUAGAGGUGAAAUUCUUAGAUAUUAGGAGGAACAUCGGAGGCGAAGGCGACCAUCUGGGUCGUAUCUGACGCUGAGGUGCGAAAGCGUGGGGAGCAAACAGGAUUAGAUACCCGAGUAGU